AUUGAACGCUGGCGGCAUGCCUUACACAUGCAAGUCGAACGGCAGCACGGGGCAACCUGGUGGCGAGUGGCGAACGGGUGAGUAAUGCAUCGGAACGUACCUUUCAGUGGGGGAUAACGUAGCGAAAGUUACGCUAAUACCGCAUAUUCUGUGAGCAGGAAAGCAGGGGAUCGCAAGACCUUGCGCUGAUUGAGCGGCCGAUGUCAGAUUAGCUAGUUGGUGAGGUAAAGGCUCACCAAGGCGACGAUCUGUAGCGGGUCUGAGAGGAUGAUCCGCCACACUGGAACUGAGACACGGUCCAGACUCCUACGGGAGGCAGCAGUGGGGAAUUUUGGACAAUGGGGGCAACCCUGAUCCUGCCAUGCCGCGUGAGUGAAGAAGGCCUUCGGGUUGUAGAGCUCUUUCGGCCGGGAAGAAAUCGCACGGGCUAAUACCCUGUGUGGAUGACGGUACCGGAAUAAGAAGCACCGGCUAACUACGUGCCAGCAGCCGCUGUAACAC
rnacentral:rRNA from 1 species